rnacentral:rRNA from 1 species
GACGAACGCUGGCGGCGUGCCUAACACAUGCAAGUCGAACGAAGCUUUGAGGAGCUUGCUCUUUAAAGCUUAGUGGCGGACGGGUGAGUAACGCGUGAGCAACCUGCCUCUCAGAGGGGGAUAACGUUUUGAAAAGAACGCUAAUACCGCAUAACAUAUCGGAACCGCAUGAUUCUGAUAUCAAAGGAGCAAUCCGCUGAGAGAUGGGCUCGCGUCCGAUUAGUUAGUUGGUGAGGUAACGGCUCACCAAGACUACGAUCGGUAGCCGGACUGAGAGGUUGAUCGGCCACAUUGGGACUGAGACACGGCCCAGACUCCUACGGGAGGCAGCAGUGGGGGAUAUUGCGCAAUGGGGGAAACCCUGACGCAGCAACGCCGCGUGAAGGAAGAAGGUCUUCGGAUUGUAAACUUCUUUUGUCAGGGACGAAGAAAGUGACGGUA